GGCCUAGAUGGGAGGAUCACGACAUCAGGAGACCGAGACCAUCCUGGCUAACACUGAAAAAUGCCAUGGCCUUGUUUCUCAUAGCAGGUAAAGAAGAACCAAAGAAUUCACUGGUACUAACAAUUAAACCUAUGCCCUCUGAGAUCUCAUGGGAUUCCUUACCCCAUCACCAUGUGCACCUCAGAAACUUUCCAAGCGCUGGACACCUUCGAAGCCAGAC
rnacentral:lncRNA from 1 species